rnacentral:lncRNA from 1 species
GUUUUUUUUUGUCUUGUAUGUAUCAAUUUAACAUCAGAUACAAACAGCAAUCUAAAAUUUACCCUCAUUGUUAUUACGAAAAACUGACAAUCUAAAUUUGCACUUCAUAAAUAAAUUUAGCAUGAGAUAAGAAACUGCCUCGAGCGCACGAUCUGGUUACUAAUCCAUGGUCACAUACAUAACCGACAAAGACUUCUCGCCACGCUUUAUAAAUAAGCCACAACCAGAUCCGAGAAUGGAAGGCAUCAGCUCACCAAGCCCACAAAAAAUAACAACACACAUGACACAUGGUCACAUACAUACAACACACACGGCUGUAGAUAUGUUGUUCUUUUUGGAAAUGGAAUGUUAUAAUUAUGCGUACAAAAAUUAAAGCUGAACAAAUAUAGUUCAAUUACACGUGGCAUUUUAUUUUAUCAUAAUAUUCUCAAUGGCUAUGGAAUCACAUUAUUACUGACCGUGUAACAUGAAUAUUACUAAAUUGUAAGUUGAUUUCCAUACACCUUUAACACAUUUAAACAAGGGAUAAGUAUAUUUUUCGUCCUCGAAUUCUUCUGAGAGUUUAGAAAUCAUCCCUCAACUCAAAACCGGAUAGUUUUUGUCCCUCAACUAUCAAAACCGGAUAGUUUUCGUCCCUCAUGUCGUUUUGGGCAGUUUUCGUCCGUCAUGAACAGUAAAUUCGAAAAAAUAGCAGAAAAAAAAACUAAAAAAUUGUGGGAUCAAAGUUCCUUGGGUGCGCAAGGUGCGUAAAUUUUUUCAUAUUGAUUGGACAUUCCAGGUGCUCAUGAGAAAGAAAAAUUGUAAAUAUGUACGUCUGUGAACAGUAAAUUAAACAAUAGCAAAAAAUAUGAAAUUUUUUGGCAUCAAAGAUGCAUGGGUGUGCAAGGUCCGUGCAUAUUUUCAUGCUCAAAUGACAUAGGAGGAGCUCUCGCAAAAAAAACAAAAUAGUGCAGUUUUUCAAAGUUUCUUUCGCAGCCAAAUUUUUUUUUGCCACGAGAUCCCACAAUGUCCAAACACAAUAAAAUUUUGCAGACACAUUGAGCACCCGAGCAUCUUGUAUGUCAACAUUUUUCAUAUUUUUUUUAAUUUCUUUUCUAUUUUUUCCGAAUUUACUGUUCACCGGCGUACAUAUUUAUGGUUCUUCCGUUGUCACAAGCUCCUUGAAUGUCUAAAUAGAAAAAAAAAAUAUGCACCUUGUGCACCCAAGGAAGUUUGAUCCCACAAAUUUCCAGACGUUUUUGACAUUUUUGCUAUUUUUUUAAAAUUUACUGUUCAUCGGUUUACUGUUCAUGCGGACGAAAACCGCCCGAAGCGGUAUGAGGAACGAAAACUAUUCGGUUUUGAUAGUUAAGGGACGAAAACUAUCCGGUUUUGAGUUGAGGGACGAUUUCUAAACUCCCGGAAAAGUUCGAGGACGAAAAAUAUACUUAUCCCUUUAAACAAUGCCCUCGGAUUUGCAAAGCCACUUGACUAGUUGGUUGGAAACUACAAAAAAUAAGUAGUUGGAAAAGUUUUAGUGUUUCAUUGACAUCGCAUAAAACUCCUAGGAACAUGGGGUGCGACAAAUGAAAAUUAACAAAUCAUUGACUGAGGAGCUACGUAACAACAGUGAGCAAGCCAUCGUGCCUUCACCUCUAAAUUGAAAUGAUAUGUCCGUGAAGGGGAGAUAUCGCGCAAGUGUGGCGGAAGUAAUGUACUACUCAACAAUGGAAUAACCCCAAAUGAAGGAGAUGUGCAGCGCCCACUUUUUGCACCAUACGAGCCAGAUAGAAUGACCGGAAAAAGGGUCUUGGAAAAUUAAAUCCACUCAAGGACAAAAUAUAAGAAAUACAUAAUCUAGGGUUGUGACCCGAACCUAUUGACUAAACUUUCAUGGCAGAUAACAGGACAAAACUUGAAGUAAUCCCCAGGCAUGCCCACUCUGCAGAUGGUCUCCAUCGACGCCGUCUUGGGGUCAUAGUAUCCCAAUGACCAGCCCGUGUUGAGCAAAAUCCGUCCACCUUUUAGAUCAAUGGCCAAAGGUGUAGUCCACUCAGACGAAUACUCAGGCGAGAACUCUUCCAAAUCUAUACGAUAUUCCUUUAACCAGAAGCCAACGUCCUUCAUCAUCCAUAUGGAGAUCACGUUCAUGGUCUUGUCCGAACAAGUCACGCAAAGCGCACCUUGGAGCUCGAGGAUGCCAGGAUGGACAGAUGCCCGUUGCCAUGGCUGCCGCAUGGAGGACCUGGAAGAACCUCAAAUUCCUCCUUCUCGACAUCGAAUGUGAUGAUUUCACAAUGUAGAGAAACUGGCCCGAGGUUAGGCUCCACCAUCCAUGUUAGAGUUGUGUCGAAUAUUAUUGUACAAGGUAGGUUACAGUUGGACUUGGUUUUGGACUGUGUGUAGACAUGGUAGGAGUUGUGUCCUAAUAGGACACUUGUAUCCUAGGCCUCUCAUAUAUAUCGGGGGUAGACACACGAUGUAACAUAUGCCAACAUAAUAGCACGGGCACGCGGGGGAGCCGGCGGCGUGUGCCGGCGCCCGGGCGGCCGGGGUGCGGUAUUGUGAAGGUGUCACGGGGAGGAGUGCCCGUAGUCAGGCCCCGGGGAUGUAGCCAUGAUAGUGAACCUCGUUAACAAAUCUCGGUGUCGUGCUGGUGUGAUUGUUUGGUCCUCGGUAGAUCGACGGUAUGCCUCGGAUUUAUUCUAACAAGUGGUAUCAUGAGCUAGGUUAUUUAGAGGUCGCAACUGCGUUGAUCUAGAGGAGACGAAGCCGGUUUGCUGUUUAUUUCGUCACGGCGGCGAACGAAUCAGCGGACGGAAGGCUUGGUUGAAAAGCAAUCCGAAUUAGAGAAGCUGUUCGGGGUAGAGUCGGCGAGAUUGAAAGUUCCAAAAAAUCGGAAGCGCGUGCGGAAGUAGCUGGGUUCGAGGUGGCAAGGAUCCGAGCGUAGAGCCUGCGGCAGCAGGGAGAGGAUGCGGCACGGGAGGCUCGACACGCGCGUUGGCGGGCGAGCUAGCAUGUUUUCAGGCCGAUCGCUAGAUGCAGGCUGGAGCUGGGCCGGAUGCAGUAGCAGGCCCAUGGCACUCGGAUGGCCCAAACGCAGCAAGCUGGGCACGCAGGCGGUCCAUCAAGGAGCAGCUUUAAUCGCUACAUGUCUACAGAAGGAGCUUCGGUGCAUGCAGGCGAUAGGAGAUUUGUUAAAAGGAAAAGAGCAAUCAAAAGUCAAAGGGCAGGAUUCAGGACACGUUGCGUAUUUGGUGCUGUUUGUGCUAGAAAGUACAUGGAGUGCAUGCAUCAGGAAGAUACGUGAUGUGUAAGAGGAGGACUGGCGUUGGUUGUUGGAUUGCGAUCAUAUUCUGGUGGUUCUAGACAAUUGCAAGGAAUAUCAAGGUGCCAUGCAUGGGCAGCAGGGAUGGUUCUUGUAUAGUUUAGAUGGUGUUGGCAUGAUCAGCUUGCUCAGGGGACUAUGACAAUCGGCAGAGUUAGGUUUGCAAGUGUUGUCACGGCCGUAGAGCAUGGACGACGUGGACAAACAAAUACAGAGUCGUGCGAGUCCGGAUGGUUUUAGCGAGAGAAGCCAUUAGAUGAGCAGCGGGUGAUCGGAGAGCCACACGGCAGGAGGACAACUGGUGGGCGCGUGGUCGGACUGAUGGCUUUUGGUCAGUUAGAACAUCCUACGAAAGAGACAACAAUAAACUGGUGACGUGCGUAUAAGGCUCGGAGGAGUCUGGAGCUCGUCUUACAGGUUCAUGCAUACACAGGGCGUCAAGCAAUGUACGAAUGUGCGGAGCGGACAUGACGCAGGGUGGAGCAUGGUUGCAGUCGGAUAAUUUUCGGCUGGGUCGGACUGGACUGUCUGACGAAUCAACGGAUAUGUUGGUGAAAGCAGAAGACGGUGGUGAUUUCGGCGACGACGACAUAGGAGCGUGAUGCUGAUGAUGGCCGGCUUCUGGGGCGUGGAAACACGUGGUGCAAGCUUGAGGGCUUGUGCGGUUUCGACAGACUAUGGCGCGGGGUUGAUUCAAGACGGUGCGCACAAGGGAGCUUGAAGUCAACAGGGCACGGGGCAGCAUGGCUAGCUACAUAGAGUCAUGUUGAAGGUGGAGCUGAAGUCUGAUGGACGACUUCACUCUGUGCUGAUGGAGGGGCUACGGCGUAAAUGCAUGGAGAGUCGAAGCCUAUUUCAGCGGGAUAGCGAGAGACACGUGGAUCGGACUGGGUACCAGUGGUCUGAUGGAGACGUGAUACUCGGCAUCGGUCGGUGAUGAUCGAUGGUUCUCUGCAGUGGGGGUUGAGGCAGUGUGGGCUAGCUACCCGGGAGACUCGACCAGGACAGCAGAGGCUCGACGCGGUGAUAGCGGCGAGGCGUGCGGUAAGCACGGGACACAGCGACAGACCAAGGCACUGGUGGUCAGACAAAGUGUGCAAGGGUGUUGAAGCAGUGUUGACGAGUACUAGAUUCAAGUUGGUGUCUGGGUCUAUCGGUGCUAGUUGAUGGACAGGAGUUGACCGUAGAGAAUCUGAGAAAGUGGCGGAAAGUCUGAAAUUGUCAAAAGCUGAGAGAGUACAUGGCCGUAUAUUCUGUGGUGUUCAGUGCGGAUGACAAGGCAGAAGGAGGCGGAGUGCUAUAGCUACGGGACAUGUCAAAUACUAUCCGGGAAAAAGGAUGAGACAACUGUGAAUUUGACUCAGGGUGACACAGGGCGACGGUGAAAUUCCUUCAAUUUUCAGACAGACGGUCAAAAAAGAGCGGUGAUGUUGAGUUCAGGUAACUCUUGUAUGUAACAUCCAAUAUGUGAGUUGUUCACUUUCACGCAGAUAAAUUAUCGGUGUGUGAUGGCGUUGAACGGAAACUCCGGAAGUUGGGAGCACAAAGUAGAGUAUUGAGGAACUUAAUUUUGCUCGAGUAUUGACUGUGAGGAAGACGAGAAGGAACUACAGUUGCAGGUGGAGUCAUGUCGAGUCUGAGAGUAGCAGCGGUGCUCAUGGCGUAUCUCAAGUCCAAUGUACAUGGAGGUUCGACGCACGGAUGAAUCCAAGAUGGUGGAGAAUAUUCGUCAAGGUGGAGUUUGUUAGAGUUGUGUCGAAUAUUAUUGUACAAGGUAGGUUACAGUUGAACUUGGUUUUGGACUGUGUGUAGACAUUGUAGGAGUUGUGUCCUAAUAGGACACUUGUAUCCUAGGUCUCUCAUAUAUAUCAGGGGUAGACACACGAUGUAACCUAUACCAACAUAAUAGCAUGGGCACGCGGGGGAGCCGGCGGCGUGUGCCGGCGCCCGGGGUGCGGUAUAUAUUGUGACGGUGUCACGGGGAGGAGCGCCUGUAGUCAGGCCCCGGGGAUGUAGCCAUGAUAGUGAACCUCGUUAACAAAUCUCGGUGUCGUGCUGGUGUGAUUGUUUGGUCCUCGGUAAAUCGACGGUAUGCCUCGGAUUUAUUAUAACAAUCCAGAAAAUCUUGCCAUCAAUGCAGGUGGGUUGGAUGUUAGCUACUGGUCUAGGAGGAGCAUCUAAUGAAAUGACAUUCUUGUUCUUCCACAUACCGCAAGCUGCAUUCAAGUUGGUAUUCUCGCGUCGAGAAGUUCUUCUCUUUGUAGGUCAUACGCACUAGAACAUGCUCACCAUUCUCGCAGUCGUAGCCCAACGCGAUGCGACCCGCAUAGAAAGUGUCAUCGUUGAGAUUUUGAAACUCCAUUCUCUCAAUGUAUCCCAUGGCAGGGUUGCACACAAAACUCCGAGAAUGGCAGCUCCCCACAUUGAGUCCUCGACUAGGCUGGGAACAUACUAGAUCAGGAAAAUGAACCUACGUGCUUUAUUUGCCAAGUUUUACAAAGCUUAACUUUUUCUCUUUGUAUUUAGCCACAAGCUCAUACGCAAACUAAUGGUGAUUGAAAAUAACUACUUUUAAUUUAAUUACAACAACAGUAUUGUUUCAGACUUCACAUGGAAAUAAAAACUCCUAAAAGUUGGUGCGGCGAAUGAAAAAGAGAAAAAGGAGCGAUCGACACCCUAUGCGGCGACAGGUAGCAGGCCGUUGUGCCUGAGCAGUGGCUCCGGCGACGGCUCCCGUCCUCUGAAAGCAACGAAAACCUGCAAAAAAACAAAAAAAAAAAUCCGGCGUCGGUAGCGGUCUUCCAACAACUCUAACACCAUGGAGAAGAUAUACUUCAAAAGUAGCUCGACGACUAACCUCGAGAGGAGAUUUUCCACCUCCAAGUGCAAGAACCGUUUCUCUGAAUCGUCUGCCGGUCUCCUCAAUUGCCUGCAAACAAUGAACAGGGUAUUCAUCAGCAAGAUUGAAAAAUCAUCGUGUUUUUUAUUUUGCAAUCAUGCAAGGGUGGAUUCAGUAUGGAAAUACAUACAUUUGGCAAGAUAAUCAAAUGAAGUUGAGCGAACAAGUGACAAAAAAAAGACAAGAUUCAGUCUCAGGCUAGUAGUCUCAGUUUCCUCUGAGCGAGCGGACAACAUACCUUCUCAUUAUCCAGACCAACAUCUUCAAAUGCUGAGAAUGCAUCAGCUGAUAGUACUUCAGCCCACUGCAAAGAGGACACGAAAAGAUACAAACUUUAGUCAUGUUCACCAUCAGGGGUCAGGACAAACAGAAAUUCAGAUGUGCUAUGACAAUCUACCUUGUAACUGUAGUAUCCAGCUGCAUAGCCACCUGCACAUAGCUCAUGAUGUAAAUGAGAAGCGAAAUCCAUGAUGAAUCAGAUGAAUUUACAUGUUAGUCAAAGCGUGGCAAACCUGCAAAAAUGUGGCUGAAUCCACACAGGAAUCUGUCCUCUGGCAGAGGAGCGAGAACCUGGGUUUUUUCUGCAACCCUUCGGUCAACAUCAUACACGGACACUGGUCCACUUGGAUCAUAAGUUGUAUGCAGUUCCAUAUCCACACUUGCAAAACGUAUCUGCAGACAAACAUUUAAUUAUUUAAAUAAAAAGACGAUGGAACAACACAGAUCAGUAACAGCAAAUAGUCAGGAAAAACACAUAAGAUCGCAGCAUUCACUCAAUCAUGUGACAGGUUCCUCAAACAUGUAGAAGUGGUAAAAAUAUGUCAAAAUGAUGAAUGUCACCUGGAAACAAUUGCAGACGGGUGAAUUAAAGUAAAUAAACAUGUGCAUACAACAUCCCACCUAUCUUACAAACAACAGUUUUCAAGCCAUAAACAUUCCAUUUCAAGUAACUGUUUCUAAAAUUUAAAUCAGUUAUAAUGGUCUGAUUGCAUAUAUGUCUAGUCAUCAAGUUCAUCGACCUUUGACCCAAGCACGCAAGUUUAAGGACGUACGGUGAAAUUUGCGAUAUGCAAUGUAACCAUUACAAAACAAUACCAAAUAAUGAUAACAACAAGGAAAGCAUGAGAGCCCAAGCCAACAUACCUGACGGAGACUGAAGGUGCCAGCACGGAAAUUCUUUGCAGCCACAAGCUUAGCAUAGAUUUCCUCUGGAAGAGGUUCACCGGUUUCAUAAUGCUUUGCAAUGCUCAAAAGAGUAUUCCUGUUACACCAAUGCAACAAGUCAUUAAUUACCAGAAUCAGGCAAGACCCAAGCCAAACCGAACAAAAUAGAGCCAUCGUACUUGUGAUAGCACCAGUUUUCCAUGAACUGAGAGGGUAACUCUACGGCAUCCCAUUCUAUUCCACUGAUACCAGCAACAAAGGCUUCAUCUUGUCUGGUAAGCAUAUGCUGCAGCGCGUGACCAAAUUCAUGGAACACGGUUUCAACCUACAGAAGCCAUGUGCAAUAAAUUUUUUCUUACAAACCAUAAUAUGGAUAGAUGAUCUUCCUAUAUAUUUACAGCAUGCAUACAUAAUCAUAACUUUUUUUAUAUGUAUAAGAAUACACAGAAUAAUAUACCAUAACAAGUACACUGCUUACCUCACGAAAGGUCAUAAGACUGGGCUUAUCGCCAACUGGUGGCAUCUGAUUACACACCAUAUGGGCAACAGGCAGCCUUACAGAAGACCCAUGGCGAGCUAGCACACUACUACGAGAAAAUACGACAUUCAUCCAAGCCCCACCACGCUUUUCAGAUGGUCUUGAGUAUGGGUCGAAGUAAAAAUAAGCAACGGGGCUAUUGGAAGAAUCUUUGACACAAUAAAAUUUGACGUCACUGUUCCAAACCUGAAAGAGUGAUCACUGGUCAACAUUUGCAGAAUAUUUACUUAUGUUAAGAGAAGUGAAUGGAUACUUACAGGAGCCAAUCCAUCUGCAGCUUCAACGGUUAUUCCAAAGAGCUUAUUCGCAAGACUGAAGAGGCCAUCCAUAACCUUGGGCAGUGCAAAGUAAGGACGCAGUCCUUCCUGCAAUGGUAACGCUCAAGUCAGCUCAAUGGCAUAUAUCAUUAUGAUGUGCAGUAUGUCAGCACUUUGUUUCAAGCAGAGCAAUUUUGUUCAGCAAAUAUAUAUUGGAUAAGUCUCAGCAACAGAAAUGCAAGGAAAUAUAGUCGAAACAGUUCCAAAAGCAGACUAAUGAGAAACCUAUCAAAUCGCAGCAAAAAAAACAUUAAAAUAUACUUCUGUAAAGAAAGAACCUCAUCGAUGUCAUAUUUAGAUUCCCGCAGUCGUUCACUCCAGAAGUUAAGAUCCCAGUGUGCUAGAUCAUUGGCUUCUGCAGAACCAGAAUCUUUCACAAAGGCUUUUAGGUCUUCCAUAUCUGCAUUAAGAAAAGCAGCAGUUAAGAUAUUUGUGGUAUUUCAGCCUAGUCCUUGGCCUUCAUAGAAAGAUACAUGAGAAAAAUAUUUGCUAAUGGAGAGAUAUAAUGAUGCUGAUGGAUAAUUGCUCCUACUUUUGUUUGGGAUCUCUCAAGAGAGUUAAGGUGGCAAUACAAAAACAAGAAGCAAAACAUCAAAGAUAAAUGAUAAAAGGGUCCAAACUCCAAAAUGUAUCUUCUGCUGUUACAACUCCAGAAUAUCUUAAUAAAAUAGGCAAAAAGAAUAUAGAACACUGGCUAGAAACAAGGAUCCUAUUAAUCUGAUGUAAAGAAUGUCAAAGAGAAUAACUUGGCUGGUUUUACCUUGGACAGCAUGAUCCCAGGAAGCAGCACGGAUUUUCUCAAGAAGCUCUUGCACCCGGUCAACAGUUGCCAUUUUCCGAGCCAUGCUUACCUUCAUGAUUGUCAUCAGUUAGCUAAAAUACAAUAGUACUCGGCACUGUUUUAAAUGUGGACAGGGCAAUGGUAAGCUUGCGCACCUCAGCAAAGUUCUUGUAGCCAAGUAGUUUAGCCUUCUCUAGCCUCAACUUCAGAAUCUGACUUAUGAUAUCAGUGUUAUCAAGAUCGCCGCUUGAUGCACGGGUUAGAUAAGCGCGAUAUACUUCUUCACGGAGAGCCCUGUUCUUGGCAUGUUGCAUGACAGCCAUGAAGCUUGGUGCGUCUAGUGUGAUCAUCCAAGGUCCAUUUUCAGCUGAAGCAUUUUCAUGACCCUAACAAAAUAAUUUGUCAGCAUAGAAAAUCAUGCAGGGGGAUCAAACUCCUAAGCUACCAUAUUUUUGUUUACACUUCAUAAUGCUCACCUUUGAAACAGCAGUCUGUGCUGCUAAGCCAAGAGCUGAGGCAGGUAAACCAUCGAUUUCUUUCUUAUCAGUAAUCAAUUUCUCAAAUUUCUUUGUUGCAUCCAACACAUUUUCACUGAACUUCUCUGACAGCUUUUCAAGUUCCUGAAAAAAAAACAAUCCAUUAACAUCAACAAGAAGCGGAAAUAUGAAAAAUAAUCGAUAACACAGUACUACGUCAGGCAUUGGAAGUACCUAACAACAUGCGAUCAGCAACAAGACUAAAAACAAACUACGCACACCGUAAUAAGUGACAACAAAGGUAUGCAUGGGCAGUCACCACCACAAUGGUUCAAAGAUAAAAACAUAGAUGUAAUUAUUUUAAGAUGCAGAGACUCAUAUACGACAGGGAAUGGCUCGCUUGCUAGACCAUCAAUACAUGUACCGUUACGCUUCCAGUCAGGUUGGUACACUUAGCAUAUGUACAAUAAAUAUAAUCUGUCAACAUCUGAUAAGAACAAAUAGCCUACUUGUUGGAUUUGAUUGAAUUUUUCCCUCUGCUCAUCCUCAAGCGCAACUCCACCAAGAACAGCAUCCUUUAUUUGGCCUGGCAAGGAAGAGAAAAUACAUCAUUAAAAAAUACAUCAUUAGGAGCAUAAAAUGCAUAUGCAACAUGUGCGGUUAAGCAGGAAAAGAAAAGCGACGAAACUGACACGAGCCGGCUCUUAGUAAGUAUUGAGAGACAGCGACAUUGCUUGCUUCUUAUUGGCAGCAAUACAAUUGACUCAGUGUGUCACUAUGGGUAUAGAGAAUAUUACCUUCGACGACACGCUUGCGGGCGUCGCUGAGGCUGUCCCAGUCUGAAGAAUUCCUGAUGGCGUUGAAGGCCUCGUAGAUUGGCUUGCUCUGCCCCAGCCUCAGGUAGAACUUCACUUUCUCGGGCUGUUUAAAUUCAAGAUCGAUCGAGUUAAUCAGUUGAAGCAACACGGGGCGUAGCAUAUGAGAUAGACAAUUAUCAAGCACUUGAUUGAAACAGCAUGGAAUCGUCAGCCUCUACCCUCUAGUGUGGUACCAUAUCCCCACAAAAAACAUGCGGACCAAAGUCGUAAUAAGCACUAAAACAGAUUAAGGAUCUAUGAUAAUUUUCUACUAUGUACUAGUAUUGCUGGAUAAUAACUCGUGGAGCAAGCCAAAAUACAGAGACAGGAUCUGAUGAUGCGCUAACUAAUCGACGACGGCUCCGUCCGUCCAGAUCACGGGCUGCGGCGCGACCGAAGAAGGUGAGAGGGGACUGUCACCUGGACGUCCUCUACGGCGGCGCGGAGGUCGGCGGAGUCCUUGACGGCCUUGAGGUGGUCGACGACGUUCCAGACGACGUCGAGCCUGUCGACGAUGCGCUCGAGCGGGUGGACCAGCUUCUCCCACGCCGGCUCCACGCCCUUCUCCAGCUCCUCCAGCUCGCCCUCCUGCAGCCACACACAAACCGGCGGUCAGAUCCGUACGGGCGACGAACGAACGAAGGUUAGAAGAGGAACGGGGGGCUUACGAGGCGGGCGAGGAGCGCGCGGAUCCCGGGGCGGACGUGGGCGGGCUCGACGCGGUCGAAGGGCGGGAAGUCGAAGUCGGCGAGCAGCGGGUUGCUGCUGNNNNNNNNNNNNNNNNNNNNNNNNNNNNNNNNNNNNNNNNNNNNNNNNNNNNNNNNNNNNNNNNNNNNNNNNNNNNNNNNNNNNNNNNNNNNNNNNNNNNNNNNNNNNNNNNNNNNNNNNNNNNNNNNNNNNNNNNNNNNNNNNNNNNNNNNNNNNNNNNNNNNNNNNNNNNNNNNNNNNNNNNNNNNNNNNNNNNNNNNNNNNNNNNNNNNNNNNNNNNNNNNNNNNNNNNNNNNNNNNNNNNNNNNNNNNNNNNNNNNNNNNNNNNNNNNNNNNNNNNNNNNNNNNNNNNNNNNNNNNNNNNNNNNNNNNNNNNNNNNNNNNNNNNNNNNNNNNNNNNNNNNNNNNNNNNNNNNNNNNNNNNNNNNNNNNNNNNNNNNNNNGCUGCUGGUAUCAUCCGCGGCGUCCGCCAUGGCGGAGGCGGUGGAGUAGGCGGAGCAGGCGAUUGGGGAGGGGCGGGCGCGGGGGCAGAAGGCGCGGAGCGGGGAGGAGGCGGGGAGGAGGGAGAGGAGGCGGAGGGCGGGGAGGGGGCUGGUAGGGUUCCGGGCGAGGCGGCGGGCGGAGUGGGAGAGGAGGUGGGAGGCGCAAGUGAGCAGCGUGGGAGUCAUGGCCGCCGCCAGGAGGAGGAGGAGGACGAGGAGCACGAGGGUGCUGCGCUGACGUGCCGGGCCCAUCGCUCGGUCACACCACGUGUGGGCUUUGGAUGGGCCGCCGCGGGAGAGAGAUUAUCCCCUCGGGGUUUUUGGACGGCGCACGCCACGCCACGCCGUCCUUUGUCAAAAAAAAAUCUAUAUAUUUAUCAGAGAAGGAAAACUGUAAUGAAUAUUCAUCACACCUCAAUCCACUUGUAAUUACGUCACAGUUUGCACUCGAACUAAAAAGCUUCUAAACACACUUGUUUUCCACUCGGCAGGUCCAAACUUUGUACACUCACACAAACCUUUUGUUCGAAUCGUAUGGUUAUAAUUAACGGCGGCAUGGGAAUAGGCUCUUCUUUUGCAGGUAGACAUAUAUAGGCUUUUUAUCAGCGGCAUGAGAAACAGCCCAACUUUGGAGGCACAAACCCUCAGGAUUGACAAAGUCACCAUAGGCCUCGCUGUCGACAUAGGCGGGGUAUCGAACGUACUAGGGCUUCAUCCCUUGUUGGGUUAGGCUUGGGAUACAGUCAUAUAUUGUUCCUAACUACCAACCUUUACUUAGUUCCUCGAUUGAAUACAACUAGUUUUCGAGAGUGGUGUGCUGACACAUGAGAGCGCGAGCUCCUGGUUUUUAAAUGUGUUUUAAACAUGUUUUGAAAUGUCAAAAAAUUCCAAACAAAAACUUGGCGCGUAUAUCUCGAUAUUGUACAUGCUCACAAAAGUCGUUUCGUGAAAAACCGACAACUUAUGUGUCGCGUCUCACCUGUGAAGAAGACAAAAUCUGGUUUUAAAAAUGCUUUUCACAAGACAAGACAUCCUUUUGUCUUUUUUACACAAGCCACAAAAAAUAUCGGUUUUCUCCGAAACUUGAUAUGCAGACAUAUAAUGUCGAGAUGUAUACGCCAAAUUUUUGUUUGGAAUUUUUUCACACUUUGAAAAAAAAAUCGCAUGCAUGAGCGCGCGCUCCCGGGAGCACCAACGGAUUUCCGAUGCCCACCCACACAAGGUUGUUGCAGAGGAUAAUAUAAUAUCGAAAUGCCAUGUGUGAUUUCUUUUUUACUUGAAACAAGAUUAAAGUUUCAUAAAUCGUCAAUUGCUCAACCAGAUUUAUUUUUUUAAUGGUUUUUGUUAGAUAAUAAUAAUAAUAAUGGAGCCUUUUCCAUUGUUGGCCUAACGCUUUACUGUUUCACCAUUAGUUGUGGAUUUCAUACCUUGGUAAGUUGGAAUACAUACAUUCCGUGGAUUGCCAUGGAAUUCAUUCAGUUUUGAUUUCACCAUGCAACCAGCACACGCAUCACGCAUGUACAUGGGAUUAUCUCGUCAGUGAGAACUCAACAGAGGGGGGAGGAGGACUGGAUUAGCAAGCUAGCAGACUAGCACCGAUCAGCAGCACGGCACACGCCGGCGCCGUGACCGACCGUUGCUACCGCAUGGGCAUGGCGGCGAUGGCACGGCUGCAGAGGCGGGAGACGUCCGAGGGGCGCACGGGCUUGAUGAGGAACUCCUCCGCGCCCUCGUCGAGGCACCGGCGGAUCCUGGUGGGGGAGUUCUCCGACGACAUGAUCACCACCGGGAUGCCGCGCAGCUCCGCCGACUCCUUGACCCGCUUGAGCAGGUCGUAGCCGGUCAUCUCCGGCAUGCAGUAGUCCGUGAUGAUCAGCUGCACGCUCUCGUGGCCCAGGCUCAGCACCUCCAGCGCCUUCUUCCCGCUGUCCACCGUCGUCACUGCACAAAUUAGGAAGAAGUUUCAGUUCAGUUCAUUCAAGGCUCAUUUCUUCUCCGUUCAGAUUCAGUCAUGGAAUGGGAUGAGGUGGUACCUCUGUACUUGGAGCUGCGGAGGAGCCUGGAGAUGACGACGCGGUCGACAAGGCUGUCGUCCACGGCCAGGACGUGCGGCGGCUCCUGCACCGUCGUCGACAUCGGGCAGAGGCAGCAGAAGGGGAUGGAUGAAGGUGAUGCCUGUUGAUUUGGUUGACAAGUAAGUGGCUUAGCUGGGCAAGGUGGCAACAGGAAGCAGCGGUUUUAUAUAUACAGGGGCGGUUAGCGAGGGGCCGUCCCACGGAGUAGAAUAGAACCCCAAGAAAAGGAGGCAAUGCAAAGUACAAAGUACAGCAAGAAAAAACAAAGGGAUGAGAUCUAACCAAAUCCGGAGAGCCGGUGGCGCAGCGCUGGCCUACGCGAAGCAGAACAGAAUACUAUCCAAACCAAUCAAUAAUCCCCAAGUUUUGUAAUUCGAUUCCCGGGUCCCCAGAUUAUACUAGUACAUGUUGCACAUGCCGCAAUUGAGCCGAGCACUGUGACCCCAGGGCCAGGGCAGAUGAUGAUGAUGAUGAUCAGCACCCUCAUCUGAUUAAAAAUGCCAAGCAUCAGGCAAGUCAAACGCAGGUGUGAGUGAUUAGGAGGAUUAGGGCGCUAACUAAACAACCUCGCUCGAUCUCAUCCGCUCCGUUCCUGAUGACUCACCGGUUAUCGCUUGGUUUUCUUAUGCUCAAACCUAAACAAGAUCCAGAUCCUGACUAGUAUACUGAUUCGGUAGGCUGAUCUCUAGACAAUGGGCAUGCAUGCUUGCUUCACUCUCAUGAUUCCAUAUCGCGCUAGUUGGUUGCCUAAUUCGGAUACAUCUCAAAGAGCCGGGCAACUUUGCUAGGUGCACUGUCUCUUGUUUCGGCCAACAAAAACUAUGGCCCAAACACUGAACCUGUCCUGUCGACCGUUCCAGGCCGAGCAAGGAAGGGUUAAGGUAAGCAAUGUAAGGCGCUGAAAUCGGAGACAGAGUUCAAAAGAACCUUUAAGACAAGGUUUGUGCAUCAUAUAUCUACCCCGGCCACAGCCUAUGUUGCCCACCCAACAGCAGGUGUACUAAACCAUCCACGUCGCGAAGAGUAACUAAUUCUGGAGCACCACAGAAUAAUGUUUGUGAUCACGCACGAACUGUGCACAUUCAGCAUAUAAUUAAGAAAUAGAGCAUCUUUCGGAUCAUUAGUUUUUGUGCGCGGCAACUACUGCCCCCACCCCGACCCUGCUCCAAUAUUGAACUGGCAGAAGCGUGCAAUAAUUCGCGGGGCAACCAAAGAUAUAAGAGCCCAGAGAUUCUGAAACAUGAUGUCUGACCUGAAGAAGCCCAUUUUUUAAACUCGUGGGAGUCAGUUCCUCUGCAUCUGGACUGCCAUUCAGAGUGCCCGCAUCCAUGCUCCAGCGGAUGGCGUGUGAUGGCAACAUGGCUGGUCGCGGAAGGGGGAUUGGUACCGCUCAUCGAUCUCGGGAGCUGCACAACUUUUAUUUCUUUCCGGGGUAUUUUACUGGCUCAUAUUCAGAAGCGUACAGGUGUUAGCUGCCCAUGCACGAGCCGCUGCUCCUGCGUAAACAUCAAAAGAACAGAAGCAAUAAGGUCAACUCAAGAGAAACACAAUUCAGCUGUUGCUUCUGGUAAACAUAAGAACUACAAGGCUAAAUGUCAACCAUGUGAUGUGGUACAUGCACUCAAAUGAAGAUGGUACAAAUUUAGGACCUGAAAAAUAUAAUCUACAGGAAAACUGAUGCAAUAUACCGAGUUUGUGGCACAUUGCUUACUAUCAGAGUCCUUCAACUCCGAGGGCACCUAUUGUGGGUUUGCAUUAGAAAAAUAUACAAACUCAGACUACACUGCCUGCAUUACAAGACACAUCUUUCAUCAGACAGAUGGCAUCAUGGAGCACAUGAGGUCCCUGAUUUCAGGCUGUUCACAUCAAGCAUUACCAUCCAAAAGAUUUAAUGGGUUGACAUACAGUUAACCACAGCACUACGUGAGAUUGACAAAAAAAAUUAAAGUUUGGGAUCGAUACUCUAUGCAAGUCAACCAUGUCACUGUGAUCUGAAGCAUCUACCAUGAUCCGCCGACCAAAAACCACGAGAUUGUAACAGUUCAUUGACAGCUGGUGGCAUGAACGCAAUGAUGCACAACUGAGAGUUAAUCAAUCAAAGUGCAUUGUAUCAGACAAGUACUGACAAAUCAGACAAGCCUCAUUAAACACGGUUCAUCUACAGCGAGUGGUGACAGGCUGACAGUUCUCAGGAUAUCCUAUCAAUCACACAAAUCACAGAAAUACACCCAAAUUUCAUAUAUAUGACAAGUAGACAAACUAGUUUGAACCGAACUAUAGUUUACUAGAUCUUAUCAGAAACAAGAUAGUAUCACACAUCUUGUAACAUGAGAUGCAACAAUUUUGAGUUACCAAAUGUAGUAUCUCCGAUGGGGUUGUCUCAGGACAUGGAUGCGAUGGUCUUCACAGAGAGCCAUUGUUUGACUGAUAAAGAACUGCAACACAAUAGUUAUGUACAAUAGCUGCAGGACAAAUUUAUAAUGAAAGCCUCGGUAAUUCAUAAACCACAAAAAAUAGCAAUAAUUAUUGAAGAAAUAAAAUUGGAAUGCAUAUGAGUAUAUGAAAAAACUAGGGAAAAUAUUUGACAAGAUAUAUGAUGUACCAACUUGAAGUGCACUAGCAGAAUCACUCGCUUUUACUCAUUACCGAAAUCAAAACAGAAACUUCUGUUGUAAAAUUCCAAUGCUUUAAUACCCUUCAACUCAUACAAAAUAAGGCACCAAAUGAGGCACUCAUGCAAAGUACCACUGCCUAAAGAAUAUCACACUAUGACAUAUUAUACAUGGGCUACUGAUGGCAGUAUAUUUACCCAGAUAUACAGAGCUAUACAACUUCAAUCCAAACUAAAAAACAAAGAGAGAGAAAACUAUGAAAGAGCCUUAUCUUUCAUCAAAUCCUCGAUUCUUGACGGCAAAAGGCAAGAAUUAGGACAUUUCCACUCCAAGCGCAAGCAACUCAAUCCAGAGGCGAUUCCUGUUCUUCACCUCAAGAUGAUGAUUUUGAGAACUCCCGUAUUACUUUGUACAAAAACUCCAUGUAUUGGACUUCUUUCCCUCGUCCUCUGAGCACACGAAACUAAUAAAGAACAAUCUCCAAUCUCCAGUAUUAGAAGCUUUACACAAAAGAAAAAGAACCAGCUCCAGUCGCAAGCUUUUAGAUGCUCUUGUGAGGUUACUCAGUAGUUGACCAUUCUACUGAAACACAUGCAGC